CCAAUAAAAAACAGAAACUAAGUGAUGGAUGUAAGU
rnacentral:guide_RNA from 1 species